rnacentral:rRNA from 1 species
GAUGAACGCUGGCGGCGUGCCUAAUACAUGCAAGUCGAGCGAACGGACGAGAAGCUUGCUUCUCUGAUGUUAGCGGCGGACGGGUGAGUAACACGUGGAUAACCUACCUAUAAGACUGGGAUAACUUCGGGAAACCGGAGCUAAGACCGGAUAAUAUUUUGAACCGCAUGGUUCAAAAGUGAAAGACGGUCUUGCUGUCACUUAUAGAUGGAUCCGCGCUGCAUUAGCUAGUUGGUAAGGUAACGGCUUACCAAGGCAACGAUGCAUAGCCGACCUGAGAGGGUGAUCGGCCACACUGGAACUGAGACACGGUCCAGACUCCUACGGGAGGCAGCAGUAGGGAAUCUUCCGCAAUGGGCGAAAGCCUGACGGAGCAACGCCGCGUGAGUGAUGAAGGUCUUCGGAUCGUAAAACUCUGUUAUUAGGGAAGAACAUAUGUGUAAGUAACUGUGCACAUCUUGACGGUACCUAAUCAGAAAGCCACGGCUAACUACGUGCCAGCAGCCGCGGUAAUACGUAGGUGGCAAGCGUUAUCCGGAAUUAUUGGGCGUAAAGCGCGCGUAGGCGGUUUUUUAAGUCUGAUGUGAAAGCCCACGGCUCAACCGUGGAGGGUCAUUGGAAACUGGAAAACUUGAGUGCAGAAGAGGAAAGUGGAAUUCCAUGUGUAGCGGUGAAAUGCGCAGAGAUAUGGAGGAACACCAGUGGCGAAGGCGACUUUCUGGUCUGUAACUGACGCUGAUGUGCGAAAGCGUGGGGAUCAAACAGGAUUAGAUACCCUGGUAGUCCACGCCGUAAACGAUGAGUGCUAAGUGUUAGGGGGUUUCCGCCCCUUAGUGCUGCAGCUAACGCAUUAAGCACUCCGCCUGGGGAGUACGACCGCAAGGUUGAAACUCAAAGGAAUUGACGGGGACCCGCACAAGCGGUGGAGCAUGUGGUUUAAUUCGAAGCAACGCGAAGAACCUUACCAAAUCUUGACAUCCUUUGACAACUCUAGAGAUAGAGCCUUCCCCUUCGGGGGACAAGGUGACAGGUGGUGCAUGGUUGUCGUCAGCUCGUGUCGUGAGAUGUUGGGUUAAGUCCCGCAACGAGCGCAACCCUUAAGCUUAGUUGCCAUCAUUAAGUUGGGCACUCUAAGUUGACUGCCGGUGACAAACCGGAGGAAGGUGGGGAUGACGUCAAAUCAUCAUGCCCCUUAUGAUUUGGGCUACACACGUGCUACAAUGGACAAUACAAAGGGCAGCGAAACCGCGAGGUCAAGCAAAUCCCAUAAAGUUGUUCUCAGUUCGGAUUGUAGUCUGCAACUCGACUACGUGAAGCUGGAAUCGCUAGUAAUCGUAGAUCAGCAUGCUACGGUGAAUACGUUCCCGGGUCU